rnacentral:rRNA from 1 species
AUUGAACGCUGGCGGCAUGCCUUACACAUGCAAGUCGAACGGUAACGGGCCUUCGGGUGCCGACGAGUGGCGAACGGGUGAGUAAUGCAUCGGAACGUACCUUUCAGUGGGGGAUAACGUAGCGAAAGUUACGCUAAUACCGCAUAUUCUGUGAGCAGGAAAGCAGGGGAUCGCAAGACCUUGCGCUGAUUGAGCGGCCGAUGUCAGAUUAGCUAGUUGGUGAGGUAAAGGCUCACCAAGGCGACGAUCUGUAGCGGGUCUGAGAGGAUGAUCCGCCAGACUGGAACUGAGACACGGUCCAGACUCCGACGGGAGGCAGCAGUGGGGAAUUUUGGACAAUGGGGGCAACCCUGAUCCAGCCAUGCCGCGUGAGUGAAGAAGGCCUUCGGGUUGUAAAGCUCUUUCGGCCGGGAAGAAAUCGUAUGGGCUAAUACCCUGUGCGGAUGACGGUACCGGCAUAAGAAGCACCGGCUAACUACGUGCCAGCCGCCGCGGUAACAC